GUAUUUCAAAGGAGAUCAUAAAAUAUUGUUGAAGUAACAAUUUCUCAGAAACGAAUCUUAAUAAAUAUCUGUAUUUUAGUAAAAAGUGGUAGUUAUCUGUAACAAAUGGCAGAGGAUGGUAAAAAUCAAGUCUUUGUGAAAUAUUAUAAUACACACAUAGAAAAACUCUCAUUCCUUUAUUUCAGUGGGAUUUGUCUGCAUGCAGCCAUGUGUCCAGAACAGCCAGUGGGAGAUGUUUCAUUUCCUCUAUCGCUAGAGGGCAGAACUUUUGCUAAAUAAACCAGCGGGAAAACAGAAAGGAAAACAAGGACAUUCAACAGUCUUUACAUCGGCUGGAAGACACAAUGGAAGAAUCUUUAUUUGGAGACUGCUUCCUUUGGAGUGUUUGGUCUGCUCUGAUGCUCAGAAAGAGGAAAUGGAACAAUGAAGUCGUCUAGGAGCUGUAGACCAUUCUUCUCUUCUGAGACCAGGUAACCAGAACUAUCAACAAUCUGUGGAACUGUAACAUUAACUCUUCAAUUUCUAGUGCGCUACAUGAUGUUAUGAUGUGGAAUACUAAUCACCGAUCGUAAAACCAUAAGAGCAUCAUACUAGACCAGAAGCUAGACUGGUAGUGUAUUUAUCUUCAUAAAUAUUAAAGAAAGAGUACAUCAUGUAUUAGAACAAUGGCAUAAGCACACA
rnacentral:lncRNA from 1 species